CAGUUAUUAAAUGCCUCUAAUUUAUCAAAUCCCUCUAAUUUUUUCCGCAUUUUUUUCCUAAACCCGCGAAAACCAAAAGGUUGCAAUUAAUCUUUUUCGCCUCUUUUUUCAUACACCCGCGAAAAUCAAAAGACGAGAAGUUUCAGUACUACGAACUAUACCCCUAAUUUUCCCCCACUAUACUCCAAUUUCUCUCACUGUGAAUACGUAUUCUGCAAAUUGAUUCUGAAUUAACAAGGAAAUUACAUCUCAAACUGCCGCUCAAGAUGAAAUUGCCCACUUGAUUCUCCUGUCUGCUGCGAUGCACCACCGCUGAAGUGUGUAUGCUGUCAUUCAGCACCUUAAUAAGCUUAAAGAGAGACCUAAAUUAUUGAUAUUUCUGAGAAAAUAUUGGGGGUUCGAGAAAAUCUGAGAAAAUUCAGAUUUUGGGGGUUUCUUUGAAUCUGUGAAAUUUGAAAAAUUCUAGGGAUUGUGUUCAAUUGGUGAUAUUUUAAGUGAAGAAACAACUUUGAAGGCAUUGUGAGUUUGUCGAGUUUCUGUCUAAGGAAUAAAUCGAAGAGGAGGAAAUCUAUAGCUGGAUAUUUUUGUGGGCAUGAAGAUGGAGUGGGAGAGGGACUACCCGAAGACGCAAAGAAUUUUUUUAAACUAUUGGAGGAAGGGAAGCAACAAUUAUAUCCGGGAUGUGAAAAUUUCUCUAAACUGAGUUUCACCAUUCGGUUAUACUUAUUUAAAUCCUUGAACGGAUUGAGUAAUGUAGCCUUUUCUAAUUUGCUAGAUUUGCUGAAAGAGGCAUUUCCCUUCGCUCAGCUACCAGAGUCUUUCAACAAAGCUAGAAAAGUGAAGAGAUUUGGGUCUUCAUUAUGAAAAGAUACAUGCUUUCCCUAAUGAUUGCAUAUUGUUUUGGAACAAAAAUAAGAACAUAGAUAAUUUCUCUAUUUGUAGGUCUUCUAGAUGGAAACGUAUUGGUCAUUCCUCAACAAAUACAAGUUCAAAAAUUCCUGCAAAGGUUUUAAGGUUUUUCAAUAUUCUAAUUUGAACAAAGCUAGUGGAAAAGGGAGUACUCUCAAAUUAGCGCAAUUCCUCUACAGUUGGCAGAGUUUUGAAUAGUCAUGAAUCAAGAAAGACGUCCAAAAAAAAAAAAAAAAAAAAAGCUUACAAGCUCAAGAUACGUUUCUGUUAGAUCACUUACAGCAUUAAAGAAUUCACUGCAAGGAACUGAAAAACCAAUUCAGACUGCAUGUUCAAAAUACGGAAAGCAACAAUGUCCAUCAGAAGGUUCUCAAGUGCGUGAACAAGUGCCAUUGUAUUCUACCCCUCAUGUUGUACACGAACUACUAGAACAAGUGAAGCAAGUGCCAUUGAAUUCUUUCUCUCCAACAGCACAAGAAGUCCAAAAAUAGGUGCAGUAAUUGCUUCUUGGUUCUACCUCUACUAUAGCACAAGAAGUACAAAAACAAGUGUUGAAAAUGCCACUGCAUUCUAGCUCUUCUACAACACAAGCAAAUCCACAAAAUGGGCAACAAAAUUCGCUGCAUUCUGCCUAUUUUUCAAAAGAAACAACUCCAAAAAAUAGGCAGCAAUUGUUAUCGGACUCUAUCUCUUCAGCAACAAAAGCAAUUCCAGAAAAGGGGCAACAAAAUAUAUUGCAUUCUACCUCUUCUGCCGCACAAGCAGUACCCAAAAAUGGGCAGAAAGUGCUACUGGAUGUUACCACUCAUGACACAAAUACCCAAAAAUGGGCAGAAAGUGCUACUGGAUGUUACCACUCAUGACACAAAUGAACAAUCCACAGAAAAAGGCAUAAUGUAUACAUUUCAUUCAGUUAUCAAACUAACAUUGAUGAAUUACUAAUUGUCUUAAUAUUAUAAUCAUUGUAGGUCCUUCCACUGAAAAGAAAAAGAGAGACAGAACACAGAUGCAAAGUGUACAUGGGAGGACUGAACGUAAAUUGAUUAUGUUAAAUGAGCACAACCAACCAAUUGGUCCUACUAUAGGAGUUGUACAAGAGUUGAGCAGCUUUUUGGCACACUCGCAAGGAAUUCAACUUUUUACCCUCUCACUAUUAAGACAUGAAAGAAAGUGAACAUAAAAAAGGACAUGUGGAAAUACAUCAAGGAGAAAUAUGACAUUCCUAAUGUCGGACAGAAAUGGGCCUUAAAAACAAUUCAAGAUGCUUGGAGAACAUAAAACAUCCCGUACUAACAAGGAGAAUUGAAAAAGUUGAGAUAUUCGCAUACCGUUGGCAAGAGAAGUUUUGCGUUAAUAUGUGAGCUUUGACGUUUUUUCUAAUUAUUGAUUAAAUAUGAAAUCGUUGCCUUACUUGGAAAUAUUAUUACGUCAAGUUUCAUAUAAUCAGGAAAAGAACAAAGAAGUUGAUGGUGUUGUGUCAAGCAAGGACUUCUUUGUGGCUACACGAUGUAGGAAACCGAAUCGAAUCUACAAGAAAUCAUAUGGCGACAUAAUUUGUAAAAUUGCUGAAAUAGAGAAAAUACAAACUCAAGAAAUAGAAGAUGGUACUGAGCUAGUUAUGUCUUUGCGUUAGUCAUGGGACCUGAGCAUCCGGGUUUUAUAAGAUUAUAUGGGCGUGGAGUUACCAAGACAUCAUUAAAAGAAAAUAUAAGAAAUCCUGCAUCCUCUACUGAUGAGAUGUUAUAACAAAAAAUGGAGGAAAUAGAAGAGAGGAUGAAACAAAGAAUGCUUGAAAAAUUCGAGGAACAAAAGGGUACAAUGCAACAACAAAUUACAAUUAACAUCAUAGCAAGACUUCAAUGCCUUAACCCUGAUCUUCAACUUGACCCUGACCUGCUUGCAUUUUGUGUUCAUUCUUGUUCAUUAGAACAAACUGAAGGUUGAGAAAAUGAAGAAGCGAAUGAGGAGAACAUUGAAGAACGUUAAGAAGAUUUUAGAUGGUUUUUAUAACUUUUUCUAGGAUAUUUUUGAAAUCGACAACACAAUGAAACUUAUGUCGUAAUUUACUAUUUUCUAGUUUUAUGGAUAUUAAUUACUAUGGCUAGCUUAUAUUUUGGAUAUACAAUUUUAAUGAUGAACAUUGAAAACUGUUUUGUAA